CUUUAAGAAUCCAUUAAAAAUAACUAAAUAAAAUCUCAAAUAUUGGGAUUUUAAAUUGCUACUAGAAAAGACAUCUUAGGGUUUAAUCAUGGUUGGACCAGCACCUGUGAAGACCUACUAGAAUUUUAGAUUCAUGAUUAGCAGUUUUCAGGAUUUUUAGACCCAUGGCUAAAACAUAUUUGUUUUGUAUUUUUGAAGACUUACUUCUGUUGAGUGACUUUCAAGUAUUUGAAUUCACUUGGGAAAAUAUUUCCAUGGCAGCAAACAAGGCCGCAUUUCAGAUUUCCUGCUCUUCUAUCAGCUUCAGGCUGCUCCAGGGCCUUGCGUCCAAGGUGGAGUUCCCAGUAAAAGUUUCUAGGUGCAAACCAGUGCGAGUGCGAGGGGCCUGCCCGCAACUACCGAGACCUGCUUUGUUCGAGGCCCUGGUUUCCACUCAGCACCUCCUUGGAGCCUGCGCUUCAAUCAUUUACAGAUUUCAGCUCCCAGAUUAGAUCACCGCAUUGAAUUUCUCCAUAGAGUACAUCUUCCCUCCAGUGAGUAAACUUUGGGGAAAUUUUUUAAACAUAAUUUAAGAAAAAUAGUUCAGCUUGAGCUGGAGGCAGGAAAAAUGAAAAGACCAGGCAGCUCGUGUAGGUUACUCAGAGAAAAAAAUGGACUCAAAGAGUUACUUAAUUUUUUAAACCCUAUCUCUAGGAAGUUAUUUACACAAAUCCAAACAUAUUCUACCAUCUGUCCUUAACCUUGACCCCCACUUAAUAACAUUUCUUGCUAUCUUAGCAUAUUACAGAAAAUUCCAUUUUAUUCUUUUUAAUGGCUGCAUAGUAUUCCAUUGUGUGAUUAUGUCCCAUUUGUGUGCCCUCAUUUUGACACACAAAACCAGCUGACAGUUGUCAGUCAUAUGAUGUACCUUAGAGGGUCAUAAAGUAGUAUAUAACUAGAAUUUUGAAUUAGGAAAUACCACUGUUUAUAAGUUAGGAACUCAGGUUUAUAAAAUGUAUAUGCUUAUUCAGGAUAAAUGUAUCAGUUAUUAAAUACAAUAUUAACUUAGGCAAGAGAAUUAAUUC